rnacentral:tRNA from 1 species
GGUAAAAUGGCUGAGUAAAGCAUUAGACUGUAAAUCUAAGCACAGAGGUUAAAUAAAGCCCUCUUUUUGCCA